GGCUCGGUGGUGGAUGGUUCACGCUCACAACAAAUAAUCGAUGAGACACGGAUACUUGUGAGAGACGCCCGUUCGACUCGGGCCCGAGCCA